rnacentral:rRNA from 1 species
UACGUAGGGUGCGAGCGUUAAUCGGAAUUACUGGGCGUAAAGCGUGCGCAGGCGGUUCUAUAAGACAGAUGUGAAAUCCCCGGGCUCAACCUGGGGAACUGCAUUUGUGACUGUAGAGCUGGAGUACGGCAGAGGGGGAUGGGAAUUCCGCGUGUAGCAGUGAAAUGCGUAGAUAUGCGGAGGAACACCGAUGGCGAAGGCAAUCCCCUGGGCCUGUACUGACGCUCAUGCACGAAAGCGUGGGGAGCAAACAGG